UAUGUAGGGGGCAAGCGUUGUCCGGAUUUAUUGGGCGUAAAGAGCGUGUAGGCGGCCAUACAGGUCCGUUGUGAAAACUGGAGGCUUAACCUCCAGACGUCGAUGGAAACCGUAUGGCUAGAGUCCGGAAGAGGAGAGUGGAAUUCCUGGUGUAGCGGUGAAAUGCGCAGAUAUCAGGAAGAACACCCGUGGCGAAGGCGGCUCUCUGGGACGGUACUGACGCUGAGACGCGAAAGCGUGGGGAGCGAACAGG
rnacentral:rRNA from 1 species